AAGUAAGCUUUUGGGUUCAUACCCCAAAUAUAAAGGAAAUCCCUUUUUUUUAAA
rnacentral:tRNA from 1 species